AUUUUUUUCUGUAUUUGCUUGAAGCUUAGUUGAAGAUCUGCAAUUUUUCACGAAAUUUAUAACAGAAGGGAUGAAGAAGGUUCAUUAGCUUUUGGAAAGAAAUAUUUGAUCAUAUAUUAGAAUCUUUCUUUAAAGGUAAUAUACAGGUGUGUCUUGAUCACCUACGUACGAAAUUUGAAAGGAAAGAGGAAGGCAAAAACCAUGCUUUCAGAAAAGUGGCGGUCCGAAUCUUAUUUAACCUUUUGAAUAAAUUUCUUGAUUUUAGGUGUAAUGAACAAAUUGACAACCUAUCAAUUUGACAUGUGAAUUCGUUGACAUCACACUUAUAGAGGAAGCAUGUAUGAUUAUUUGAAGUAAUGGAUUAACGAAAAUGUGCAAAAGUUUUGUUUACCUCUGGCAUUCUAUAAGUCUUGAAUGAACU